rnacentral:pre_miRNA from 1 species
UCUCAUGGAUGUGCAAAAAAAGUGGUUUCUUGAGAUGGAAACUACUUCUGGUGAAGAUGCUGUCAA